rnacentral:rRNA from 2 species
ACAUGCAGUCGAGCGGUAGAGAGGUGCUUGCACCUCUUGAGAGCGGCGGACGGGUGAGUAAUGCCUAGGAAUCUGCCUGGUAGUGGGGGAUAACGCUCGGAAACGGACGCUAAUACCGCAUACGUCCUACGGGAGAAAGCAGGGGACCUUUGGGCCUUGCGCUAUCAGAUGAGCCUAGGUCGGAUUAGCUAGUUGGUGAGGUAAUGGCUCACCAAGGCGACGAUCCGUAACUGGUCUGAGAGGAUGAUCAGUCACACUGGAACUGAGACACGGUCCAGACUCCUACGGGAGGCAGCAGUGGGGAAUAUUGGACAAUGGGCGAAAGCCUGAUCCAGCCAUGCCGCGUGUGUGAAGAAGGUCUUCGGAUUGUAAAGCACUUUAAGUUGGGAGGAAGGGCAUUAACCUAAUACGUUAGUGUUUUGACGUUACCGACAGAAUAAGCACCGGCUAACUCUGUGCCAGCAGCCGCGGUAAUACAGAGGGUGCAAGCGUUAAUCGGAAUUACUGGGCGUAAAA